GAUGAAGAACGCAGCGAAAUGCGAUAAGUAGUGUGAAUUGCAGAAUUCAGUGAAUCAUCGAAUCUUUGAACGCACAUUGCGCCCCUUGGUAUCCCGAGGGGCAUGCCUGUUCGAGCGUCAUUUCACCACUCAAGCCUGGCUUGGUGUUGGGCGACGUCCUCUUUGGGGACGCGCCUCGAAACGCUCGGCGGCGUGGCACCGGCUUUAAGCGUAGCAGAAUCUUUCGCUUUGGAAGUCGGGGUCCCGUCUGCCGGAAGACCUGCUCGCAAGGUUGACCUCGGAUCAGGCAGGGAUACCCGCUGAACUUAAGCAUAUCAAUAAGCGGAGGA
rnacentral:misc_RNA from 1 species